GGGAGUGCCCAGUUGUUAGCUGAACACUAAAUCAGAGGCAGGUUUUCCAGAGCCUCUCUUUGAAGGGGGUAAGCCUACUCUUUUGGUAACUGACAACACAGCGGAAAAUGUGAAGUUCAGUUCUCAGAGCCAACUGGAGCAUCUCAGGGGAACAGCUCUGAGAAAGAUGGCGGCCGUUAGCCGCGGACCUGAAAAUGGCCUGCUCACCAAGUGGGAACACUCCCGGCUGUGGGUGUUUCUCAGUGUUCUCAGCGAGGGCCCUGAGGGAUGCAGGGGCUGGCAUUUCCAGUUUCAGUGAUUCUAAAGGAUUAUUUUACGUCUGUGGUUCCCGUUGACUGUGCAGCUCAGGCAAUGCUGGUGUCUUGCACAUGUGCUUGAAGACAAGGAAUGUUCAAGGGCGAAAAGUGGC
rnacentral:lncRNA from 1 species